ensembl:snRNA U6 U6 spliceosomal RNA
UUGCUUCCACAGCACAUAUACUGAAAAUUAGAACAAUACAGAGAAAAUUAGCAUGGCCUCUGCACCAGGAUGACAUGCAAAUUCCUGAAGUGUUCCAUUAAAAU